AGCAAGGUGGCUGAAAUAAUAGGCGAUAGAUUGUAAAUCUAUUUAUAGGAAUAUCUCUUUGUUA
rnacentral:tRNA from 1 species